rnacentral:rRNA from 1 species
GAUGAACGCUGGCGGCGUGCCUAAUACAUGCAAGUCGAGCGAACAGACGAGGAGCUUGCUCCUCUGACGUUAACGGCGGACGGGUGAGUAACACGUGGAUAACCUACCUAUAAGACUGGGAUAACUUCGGGAAACCGGAGCUAAUACCGGAUAAUAUAUUGAACCGCAUGGUUCAAUAGUGAAAGACGGUUUUGCUGUCACUUAUAGAUGGAUCCGCGCCGCAUUAGCUAGUUGGUAAGGUAACGGCUUACCAAGGCGACGAUGCGUAGCCGACCUGAGAGGGUGAUCGGCCACACUGGAACUGAGACACGGUCCAGACUCCUACGGGAGGCAGCAGUAGGGAAUCUUACGCAAUGGGCGAAAGCCUGACGGAGCAACGCCGCGUGAGUGAUGAAGGUCUUCGGAUCGUAAAACUCUGUUAUUAGGGAAGAACAAAUGUGUAAGUAACUAUGCACGUCUUGACGGUACCUAAUCAGAAAGCCACGGCUAACUACGUG